UACGGGGGGGUAAGCGUUGUUCGGAAUUACUGGGCGUAAAGGGCUCGUAGGUGGCCAACUAAGUCAGACGUGAAAUCCCUCGGCUUAACCGGGGAACUGCGUCUGAUACUGGAUGGCUAGAGAUUGGGAGAGGGAUGCGGAAUUCCAGGUGUAGCGGUGAAAUGCGUAGAUAUCUGGAGGAACACCGGUGGCGAAGGCGGCAUCCUGGACCAACACUGACGCUGAGGAGCGAAAAGCGUGGGGAGCAAACAGG
rnacentral:rRNA from 1 species